GCUAAUUAAGUGUUAAAUGUAUCAGCACAUUGACUUUUCACGUCAAAAGAGCACCCAGUGCAUUUAGUU
rnacentral:tRNA from 1 species